GAGUUUGAUCCUGGCUCAGAACGAACGCUGGCGGCGUGCUUAACACAUGCAAGUCGAACGUGAUUCAGAGCUUGCUCUGAUGAAAGUGGCGCACGGGUGAGUAACGCGUGGAUAACCUGCCCUGGUAUCUGGGAUAACAUCUCGAAAGGGGUGCUAAUACCGGAUAAGCCCACGGGAUCUUCGGAUUCUGCGGGAAAAGAAGGCCUCUAUUUAUAAGCUUUCGUAUCAGGAUGGGUCCGCGUACCAUUAGCUAGUUGGUGGGGUAAUGGCCUACCAAGGCGACGAUGGUUAGCUGGUCUGAGAGGAUGAUCAGCCACACUGGAACUGAGACACGGUCCAGACUCCUACGGGAGGCAGCAGUGGGGAAUUUUGCGCAAUGGGGGAAACCCUGACGCAGCAACGCCGCGUGAGUGAUGAAGGCUUUCGGGUCGUAAAGCUCUGUCAGAGGGGAAGAAAUGAGAUUGGCUAAUAUCCAAUUUUCUUGACGGUACCCUCAAAGGAAGCACCGGCUAACUCCGCGCCAGCAGCCGCGGUAAUACAAGGGCSMMYURM
rnacentral:rRNA from 1 species